GGAAUGAUUCAUUUGGAAAUGUGUAGAAAUGGCGACGUGUUCCAGCUUUAUCAACCUGAAAUCCUGUACACUGAGGUGUGCCACUGUAGCAUAUAAUCAUCCUAAAAUAAGAAAAUUUCAACAUAUCAAAGACAAUGCCAUUGGAAGGUCGAAAGUUUAGAGAACCGAGGAGGGUGGUAACUAUUUCAUGGCUGUUUUCUGUUGACCCGUUUCGCAGCACUGUCAUACAGCUGAUUACUGCAGAACACAGGGAAUGUGCACAAGUGAUGUAAUCCAUGAGGGUUUAAAGCAAGACAUUCAUUUGCUUUUUUUGAGAAUGCCAUUCUAUAUUUGAGUGAGACUACAAAAGUUUUAUCUAUUUCAUU